UACGUAGGGGGCAAGCGUUGUCCGGAUUUAUUGGGCGUAAAGAGCGUGUAGGCGGCCAGGUAGGUCGGUUGUGAAAACUGGAGGCUUAACCUCCAGACGUCGACCGAAACCAUCUGGCUAGAGUCCGGAAGAGGAGAGUGGAAUUCCUGGUGUAGCGGUGAAAUGCGCAGAUAUCAGGAAGAACACCCGUGGCUAAGGCGGCUCUCUAGUACGGUACUGACGCUGAGACGCGAAAGCGUGGGGAGCGAACAGG
rnacentral:rRNA from 1 species